GGCAUUUUUUUUUAAAUUGGAAGUUUCUUUCAAUUCAAAUGCUGCCUGCUUUCAGACAGCUCCUCCUGGAACUAUGCCUCAAGAUCUCUCCUGAUACUUGGAUACUUUUCCUCUCGCUGAUGAGGAUACUGAGUAUCAGAGAGGGCCACAACAGGUCCAGGAUUACACUCCUAGCUCUUAGCAGAGAGAGGGCUCACUAUGUCGUGCUUCCUGCCAUCUCUCCCUUUGAAGAGCAGUCAGACUCCUGCUUUGUUCUUCAAGGUUGGUGGGUCUUACAGCCAUGUGAAGUGCUUACUCCCCCUUUGCCUUCUGCCAUGAUUGUAAGUUUCCUGAGGCCUCCCUAGAAGCUGAGCAGAUCCUUCCUUUACAGCCUGAAGAACCGUUUGAACGAGAGAGGAAGAAGCACAUUUCCAGUCAUUGGGGGAACCUGAGGUCAUUCUCUCCAACCCAUUUUGCCAAAUGGAUAUCCUGAGGAAGGUGUUCCAAGAGAGGUAAUGUCAGGAUAGU